CCUACGGGAGGCAGCAGUGGGGAAUUUUGGACAAUGGACGCAAGUCUGAUCCAGCCAUGCCGCGUGCGGGAAGAAGGCCUUCGGGUUGUAAACCGCUUUUGUCAGGGAAGAAACGGGUUUCUCUAAUACAGAGACCUAAUGACGGUACCUGAAGAAUAAGCACCGGCUAACUACGUGCCAGCAGCCGCGGUAAUACGUAGGGUGCAAGCGUUAAUCGGAAUUACUGGGCGUAAAGCGUGCGCAGGCGGUUAUGCAAGACAGAGGUGAAAUCCCCGGGCUCAACCUGGGAACUGCCUUUGUGACUGCAUAGCUAGAGUACGGUAGAGGGGGAUGGAAUUCCGCGUGUAGCAGUGAAAUGCGUAGAUAUGCGGAGGAACACCGAUGGCGAAGGCAAUCCCCUGGACCUGUACUGACGCUCAUGCACGAAAGCGUGGGGAGCAAACAGGAUUAGAUACCCUGGUAGUCCACGCCCUAAACGAUGUCAACUGGUUGUUGGGAGGGUUUCUCUCAGUAACGAAGCUAACGCGUGAAGUUGACCGCGUGGGGGAAGUCGGCCGCAAGGUUGAAACCUCGAAAGGAUUGACGGNNGNGNGNGCGACGACGACGACGAGGAGGAGG
rnacentral:rRNA from 1 species